UAAGACGGAGGGGGCUAGCGUUGUUCGGAAUUACUGGGCGUAAAGGGCGCGUAGGCGGUUAUGUGUGUCAGAUGUGAAAUCCCAAGGCUUAACCUUGGAACUGCAUUUGAAACUGCAUGACUAGAGUAAGUAAGAGGCGGACGGAAUUCCGAGUGUAGCAGUGAAAUGCGUAGAUAUUCGGAGGAACAUCGGUGGCGAAGGCGGUUCGCUGGUACUUAACUGACGCUGAGGCGCGAAAGCGUGGGGAGCAAACAGG
rnacentral:rRNA from 1 species